rnacentral:rRNA from 1 species
GACGAACGCUGGCGGCGUGCUUAACACAUGCAAGUCGAGCGGUAAGGCCCUUUCGGGGGUACACGAGCGGCGAACGGGUGAGUAACACGUGGGUGACCUGCCCUCAGCUCUGGGAUAAGCCUGGGAAACCGGGUCUAAUACUGGAUAUGACUCCAUGACGCAUGUUGUGGGGUGGAAAGCCUUGUGCGGCUGAGGAUGGGCCCGCGGCCUAUCAGCUUGUUGGUGGGGUGAUGGCCUACCAAGGCGACGAUCGGUAGCUGGUCUGAGAGGAUGAUCAGCCACACUGGGACUGAGACACGGCCCAGACUCCUACGGGAGGCAGCAGUGGGGAAUUUUGGACAAUGGGGGCAACCCUGAUCCAGCCAUGCCGCGUGAGUGAAGAAGGCCUCGGUU